GGCUCCGUGGCGCAAUGGAUAGCGCAUUGGACUUCUAGGCAAAACACUAGCGAUGUGAUUCAAAGGUUGUGGGUUCGAGUCCCACCGGAGUCG